GGAUCGAUGAUGACACCUCACAAACGCAUUCCUUGGAAAAUCUGAACAAAUGAGUGAGAACUCACUACCCGUCUCCUCAUCGCAAACUGAGGUCC
rnacentral:snoRNA from 1 species